rnacentral:rRNA from 1 species
GUGUCAGCAGCCGCGGUAAUACGAAGGGGGCUAGCGUUGUUCGGAUUUACUGGGCGUAAAGCGCACGUAGGCGGACUUUUAAGUCAGGGGUGAAAUCCCGGGGCUCAACCCCGGAACUGCCUUUGAUACUGGAAGUCUUGAGUAUGGUAGAGGUGAGUGGAAUUCCGAGUGUAGAGGUGAAAUUCGUAGAUAUUCGGAGGAACACCAGUGGCGAAGGCGGCUCACUGGACCAUUACUGACGCUGAGGUGCGAAAGCGUGGGGAGCAAACAGGAUUAGAUACCCCAGUAGUCC